AUUGAACGCUGGCGGCAUGCCUUACACAUGCAAGUCGAACGGUAACAGGUCUUCGGAUGCCGACGAGUGGCGAACGGGUGAGUAAUACAUCGGAACGUGCCCGAUCGUGGGGGAUAACGAGGCGAAAGCUUUGCUAAUACCGCAUAAGAUCUAUGGAUGAAAGCAGGGGACCGCAAGGCCUUGUGCGAACGGAGCGGCCGAUGGCAGAUUAGGUAGUUGGUGGGGUAAAGGCUUACCAAGCCUACGAUCUGUAGCUGGUCUGAGAGGACGACCAGCCACACUGGGACUGAGACACGGCCCAGACUCCUACGGGAGGCAGCAGUGGGGAAUUUUGGACAAUGGGCGCAAGCCUGAUCCAGCCAUGCCGCGUGCAGGAUGAAGGCCUUCGGGUUGUAAACUGCUUUUGUACGGAACGAAAAGCCUUCUUCUAAUAAAGGGAGGUCAUGACGGUACCGUAAGAAUAAGCACCGGCUAACUACGUGCCAGCAGCCGCCGUAACAC
rnacentral:rRNA from 1 species